AGUGAACGCUGGCGGUAGGCCUAACACAUGCAAGUCGAACGGCAGCACAGUAAGAGCAUGCUCUUACGGGUGGCGAGUGGCGGACGGGUGAGGAAUACAUCGGAAUCUACUUUUUCGUGGGGGAUAACGUAGGGAAACUUACGCUAAUACCGCAUACGACCUACGGGUGAAAGCAGGAGAUCUUCGGAUCUUGCGCGAUUGAACGAGCCGAUGUCGGAUUAGCUAGUUGGCGGGGUAAAGGCCCACCAAGGCGGCGAUCCGUAGCUGGGCUGAGAGGAUGAUGACCGACACUGGAACUGAGACACGAUCCAGGCUCCUACGGGCGGCAGAAGUGGGGAAUGUUGGACGAUGGGGGCAAUCCUGAACCAGCCGUACCGCGUGGGUGAAGAAGGGCUUCGGGUGGUAUGGCCCUUUUGUUGGGAAAGAAAAGCAGCGGGUUAAUACCCCGCUGUUGUGACGGUACCCAAAGAAUAAGCACCGGCUAACUUCGUG
rnacentral:rRNA from 1 species